GACGAACGCUGGCGGCGUGCUUAACACAUGCAAGUCGAACGGAACUCUUUGGAUCAAGACUUCGGUCAAGUGAAUUUGAGUUUAGUGGCGGACGGGUGAGUAACGCGUGAGGAACCUGCCUUUCAGAGGGGGACAACAGUUGGAAACGACUGCUAAUACCGCAUAACGUAUAGAGAUCGCAUGGUCUUUAUACCAAAGAUUUAUCGCUGAAAGAUGGCCUCGCGUCUGAUUAGCUAGUUGGUGAGGUAACGGCCCACCAAGGCGACGAUCAGUAGCCGGACUGAGAGGUUGACCGGCCACAUUGGGACUGAGAUACGGCCCAGACUCCUACGGGAGGCAGCAGUGGGGAAUAUUGGGCAAUGGGCGCAAGCCUGACCCAGCAACGCCGCGUGAGGGAAGAAGGCUUUCGGGUUGUAAACUUCUUUUGUCAGGGAAGAGUAGAAGACUGUACCUGGCGAAUAAGCCACGGCUAACUACGUG
rnacentral:rRNA from 1 species